GACGAACGCUGGCGGCGUGCUUAACACAUGCAAGUCGAACGGAAAGGCCCUGCUUGCAGGGUACACGCGUGGCGAACGGGUGAGUAACACGUGGGUGAUCUGCCCUGCACUUCUGGAUAAGCCUGGGAAACUGGGUCUAAUACCGGAUAGGAGCCAUUUUUAGUGUGAUGGUUGGAAAGUUUUUUCGGUGUAGGAUGAGCUCGCGGCCUAUCAGCUUGUUGGGGGGGUAAUGGCCUACCAAGGCGGCGACGGGUAGCCGGCCUGAGAGGGUGGACGGCCAAAUUGGGACGGGGAAACGGCCCAGACCCCAAGGGGAGGCAGAAGGGGGGAAUAUGGCACAAUGGGGGCAAGCCUGAUGCAGCGACGCCGGGUGGGGGAUGACGGCCUUCGGGUUGUAAACUCCUUUCGCUAGGGACGAAGCUUUUGUGACGGUACCUAGAUAAGAAGCACCGGCUAACUACGUG
rnacentral:rRNA from 1 species